rnacentral:rRNA from 1 species
UACGGAGGGUGCGAGCGUUAUCCGGAUUCACUGGGUUUAAAGGGUGCGUAGGUGGGCAGGUAAGUCAGUGGUGAAAUCUCCGGGCUUAACCCGGAAACUGCCAUUGAUACUAUCAGUCUUGAAUACCGUGGAGGUAAGCGGAAUAUGUCAUGUAGCGGUGAAAUGCUUAGAUAUGACAUAGAACACCAAUUGCGAAGGCAGCUUACUACACAGUUAUUGACGCUGAGGCACGAAAGCGUGGGGAUCAAACAGG